AUUGAACGCUGGCGGCAGGCCUAACACAUGCAAGUCGAACGGUAACAGGAAGCAUCUUGCUGCUGCGCUGACGGGUGGCGGACGGGUGAGUAAUGUCUGGGAAGCUGCCUGAUGGAGGGGGAUAACUACUGGAAACGGUAGCUAAUACCGCAUAAUGUCUCAAGACCAAAGAGGGGGGCCUUCGGGCCUCUUGCCAUCUGCUGUGCCCAGAUGGGAUGAGUUUGUUGGUGGGGUAACGGCUCACCAAGGCGACGGUCCCUAGCUGGUCUGAGAGGAUGACCAGCCACACUGGAACUGAGCAACGGUCCAGACUCCUACGGGAGGCAGCAGUGGGGAAUAUUGCACAAUGGGCGAAAGCCUGAUGCAGCCAUGCCGCGUGUAUGAAGAAGGCCUUCGGGUUGUAAAGUACUUUCAGCGGGGAGGAAGGGAGUAAAGUUAAUACCUUUGCUCAUUGACGUUACCCGAAGAAGAAGCACCGGCUAACUACGUG
rnacentral:rRNA from 1 species